GGUGGGUUGGCCGAGAGGCGAGGCAGCGGCCUGCAAAGCCGUUCACACGGGUUCGAAUCCCGUACCCACCU
rfam:Arthrobacter sp. Soil762 contig_3, whole genome shotgun sequence.